UUACAGUUUUAUGAUUGGCAACUGUGUCUACUCUCAGAAAGCAAGAGUAGGCAAAUUCUGCGUCGGUUCCACCUGAUCAAACAGUCUGGAAGAAGUAGACACCAAGCUCUAGAAGACCUGCUUUCAACCAGCUCCACUUACAUUUAUAAUUGGAUAACAUCCCCCAAACUACAUCACCCAAGAGGCAAUUUCUUCCCUUU